CUAUUUGUGCUACCAAAUAAAUCUAGGGUUCUGAAUAAAGAGCGAACCUGACAAUGUAGCGAAAGGCGAAUGCCUGGGUUAAAAGCCGCGAGGCGAACAACCUUCUGCUAGCUAUAAGCGGAUAAGCGC
rnacentral:ncRNA from 1 species